rnacentral:rRNA from 1 species
AAUCAACGCUGGCGGCGUGCCUCAGACAUGCAAGUCGAGCGCGAAAGUUUCCUUCGGGGAACAAGUAGAGUGGCGCACGGGUGAGUAACACGUAGGUAAUCUACCUUUGGAUGGGGAAUAACAACCGGAAACGGUUGCUAAUACCGCAUAAUGCAGCGGCACCUAAUGGUGACAGUUGUUAAAGCGGGGGAUCGAAAGACCUCGCGUCUGAAGAGGAGCCUGCGGCGGAUAGCUAGUUGGUAAGGUAAUGGCUUACCAAGGCGACGAUCCGUAACCGGCCUGAGAGGGCGGUCGGUCACACUGACACUGACAUACGGGUCAGACUCCUACGGGAGGCAGCAGUCGGGAAUUUUGGGCAAUGGGCGAAAGCCUGACCCAGCAACGCCGCGUGAAGGAUGAAAUCCCUCGGGAUGUAAACUUCGCAAGAACGGGAAGAAUAAGCGAGAGUUAAUAUCUUUCGUGAUGACGGUACCGUUUGUAAGCUCCGGCUAACUCCGUGCCAGCCGCCGCGGU